CCUACGGGCGGCAGCAGUAGGGAAUAUUGCACAAUGGGCGCAAGCCUGAUGCAGCCAUGCCGCGUGUGUGAAGAAGGCCUUCGGGUUGUAAAGCACUUUCAGCGGGGAGGAAGGCGGUGAGGUUAAUAACCUCAUCGAUUGACGUUACCCGCAGAAGAAGCACCGGCUAACUCCGUGCCAGCAGCCGCGGUAAUACGGAGGGUGCAAGCGUUAAUCGGAAUUACUGGGCGUAAAGCGCACGCAGGCGGUCUGUCAAGUCGGAUGUGAAAUCCCCGGGCUCAACCUGGGAACUGCAUUCGAAACUGGCAGGCUAGAGUCUUGUAGAGGGGGGUAGAAUUCCAGGUGUAGCGGUGAAAUGCGUAGAGAUCUGGAGGAAUACCGGUGGCGAAGGCGGCCCCCUGGACAAAGACAGACGCUCAGGUGCGAAAGCGUGGGGAGCAAACAGGAUUAGAUACCCUUGUAGUC
rnacentral:rRNA from 1 species